rnacentral:misc_RNA from 1 species
AAGAUGUGGUCGAGAGGGUGCUUGGGCUUGCAUGGUAUUACUCCUUAUGCUUGCCUUAAAUGCAUUAGCUGGAUUUCAGUAGAGUUGUUAAGUAACAUUGAAAACUCUUGUGAUCGAAAUCUGCUUCUAAACCAUCUCUGUAAAAGGAGAUAUAUUUCAACUUUGGCCUCAAAUCAGGUAGGACUACCCGCUGAACUUAA